GCCAGUGUGGCUCAGUGGAUAGAGCAUCAGCCUGAAAACUGAAGGGUCCCAGGUUCAAAUUCCAGUCAAGGGCA
rnacentral:tRNA from 1 species